rnacentral:rRNA from 1 species
AGUUCCCUGGAACGGGACGCCAGAGAGGGUGAGAGCCCCGUACGGUCGGACGCCUAGCCUCUGUGAAGCUCCUUCGACGAGUCGAGUUGUUUGGGAAUGCAGCUCUAAAUGGGAGGUAAAUUUCUUCUAAAGCUAAAUACCGGCCAGAGACCGAUAGCGCACAAGUAGAGUGAUCGAAAGAUGAAAAGCACUUUGGAAAGAGAGUUAAACAGUAUGUGAAAUUGUUAAA